rnacentral:rRNA from 1 species
GAAUAUUGGACAAUGGGCGAAAGCCUGAUCCAGCCAUGCCGCGUGAGUGAAGAAGGUUUUCGGAUCGUAAAACUCUGUUGUGAGGGAAGAACAAGUACGAGAGUAACUGCUCGUACCUUGACGGUACCUCAUUAGAAAGCCACGGCUAACUACGUGCCAGCAGCCGCGGUAAUACGUAGGUGGCAAGCGUUGUCCGGAAUUAUUGGGCGUAAAGCGCGCGAUGGCGGUCCUUUAAGUCUGAUGUGAAAUCCCACGGCUCAACCGUGGAAGGUCAUUGGAAACUGGAGGACUUGAGUACAGAAGAGGAAAGUGGAAUUCCAAGUGUAGCGGUGAAAUGCGUAGAGAUUUGGAGGAACACCAGUGGCGAAGGCGACUUUCUGGUCUGUAACUGACGCUGAGGCGCGAAAGCGUGGGGAGCAAACA